rnacentral:rRNA from 1 species
CAUGUCUAAGAUGAGUAUCAAACAACGAAUCUGCGAACGGCUCAUUACAACAGAUAUAAUUUACUUGUUCGAUCCCUUAAACGGAUAACUGAGGUAAUUCUUGAGCUAAUACGUGCCCAAAGCCGCGGACUUCACGUCUGCGGUGCACUUAUCCUCGCAAAACCUUUCCUGGUACACUGCUAACUCUGGAUAACCCACGCUUACCAACAUGUAUUUGUUGGAGUUACAUUCAAGUAUCUGCCCUAUCAACUAGCCGUUAGUGUAUUGGACUAACGGGGUGUUAACGGGUAACGGAGAAUCAGGGUUUGACUCCGGAGAGGGAGCCUUAGAAACGGCUACCAUGUCUAAGGACAGCAGCAGGCGCGCAACUUAUCCACUGUUCAUAGAACGAGAUAGUGACGAGAAAUAACAAGCCUGUUCUCUAUGAGGUCAGGCAUUGGAAUGGACCGAAUCUAAACCUUUCGGUGAGUAUCAAUAAGAGGGCAAGUCUGGUGCCAGCAGCCGCGGUAAUUCCAGCUCUUAUAAUGUAUAGAAUUAUUGUUGCGGUUAAAAAGUUCGUAGUUGGAUUUCAUACUUGUCGGGGUCGGGGUUAACGCCCCGUACUCGGGCAAGUUUUUCGGCUGCUGCGUCGCAAGACGGGGCGUCGGGAUUACUUUGAACGGCUUAAGUGCUCAAGGCGAGUCUUCGGACUGAAUACCGGUGCAUGGAAUAAUGGAACAAGGUCUUGACCGAGUUUUAUUGGUUUUGUCGGCUAAGACAAUGGUUAACAGGAACAGCCGUGGGCACUUGUAUCGCUGCGCGAGAGGUGAAAUUCGUGGACCGCAGCGAGACACACGAAAGCGAAGGCAUUUGCCAAGAGUGUUUUCAUUAAUCAAGAACGAAAGUCAGAGGUUCGAAGACGAUUAGAUACCGCCCUAGUUCUGACCGUAAACGAUGCCAACUAUCAAUCCGCCAGUGGCUUUCAGUCAUUGGCGGGCGGAUCGACGGAAACGAGAGUUUUUCGGUUCCGGGGGAAGUAUGGUUGCAAAGCUGAAACUUAAAGGAAUUGACGGAAGGGCACCACCAGGAGUGGAGCUUGCGGCUUAAUUUGACUCAACACGGGAAACCUCACCCGGCCAGUACAUCAUAAGGAUUGACAGAUUGAAAGCUCUUUCAUGAUUUGAUGAAUGGUGGUGCAUGGCCGUUCUUAGUUCGUGGCGUGAGUCGUCUGCUUAAUUGCGAUAACGAGCGAGACUCCGAUUGCUAAAUAGGGUGCAAAUCCUCUCGUUUGCCACCCUUCUUAGCGAGAUUCGCAACUCCAAGUUGCAAGAAAUGGAGCAAUAACAGGUCUGUGAUGCCCUUAGAUGUUCGGGGCCGCACGCGUGCUACAAUGAUGGUAACAGCGUGAUUGUCCUCGCCCGACAGGGCUUGGCAAACAGUUGAGAUAUUAUUAUGGCUGGAAUUGAGUGUUGAAAUUUUCUCUCAUGAACGAGGAAUUCCAAGUAAAUGCGAGUCAUCAACUUGCAUUGAUUACGUCCCUGCCCUUUGUACACACCGCCCGUCGCUACCCGGGACUGAGUUGUUUCGAGAAAUCUACGGACCUAGCCGCCUCGGCGGCCGGGAAAGUAAAUUAAUCGCAAUGGCUUGAACCGGGUAAAA